rnacentral:rRNA from 1 species
AUAAUUUAAAGUCUAAUCUGCCCACUGAAUAUAUUUUAAAGGGCCGCGGUAUAUUGACUGUGCAAAGGUAGCAUAAUCAUUUGUCUUUUAAUUGAAGGCUUGAAUGAAUGAUUGAAUAAGGUAUAAACUGUCUCAUUUUAAUAAAUUUAAAAAAUUAAUUUUUUAGUUAAAAAGCUAAAAUAAUUUUAAAAGACGAGAAGACCCUAUAGAUUUUUAUAAUAAAUAAUUUUUAUUAUUAAAGUAUAUAAAAUUUUUAUUAAUUAUAUUAUUAUUUUGUUGGGGUGACAGGAAAAUUUAUAAAACUAUUUUUAUUUAUAUUCAAAAAUUUUUGUUUUAUUGAUCCAAUAUUUAUUGAUUAAAAGAUUAAAUUACCUUAGGGAUAACAGCGUAAUUUUUUUAGAGAGUUCUUAUCGAUAAAAAAGUUUGCGACCUCGAUGUUGAAUUAAAAUUAAUUUUAAAUGCAGCAGUUU